rnacentral:rRNA from 1 species
UACGUAGGGGGCAAGCGUUGUCCGGAAUUAUUGGGCGUAAAGCGCGCGUAGGCGGCUACUUAAGUCGGAUGUGAAAGCCCCUGGCUCAACUGGGGAAGUGCACCCGAAACUGAGUAGCUUGAGUGCAAAAGAGGGCCGCGGAAUUCCCGGUGUAGAGGUGAAAUUCGUAGAUAUCGGGAGGAACACCGGUGGCGAAGGCGGCGGCCUGGGUUGACACUGACGCUGAGGCACGAAAGCGUGGGGAGCAAACAGG